rnacentral:ncRNA from 1 species
GUUUGGGCGCGCAGACUGACUGUGAAACUGCGAAUGGCUCAUUAAAUCAGUUAUAGUUUGUUUGAUGGUACCUGCUACUAGGAUAACCGUAGUAAUUCUAGAGCUAGUACGUGCAACAAACCCCGACUUCUGGAAGGGAUGCAUUUAUUAGAUAAAAGGUCGACACGGGUUCUGCCCGUCGUUGCGAUGAUUCAUGAUAACUCGACGGAUCGCACGGCCCUCGUGCCGGCGACGCAUCAUUCAAAUUUCUGCCCUAUCAACUUUCGAUGGUAGGAUAGUGGCCUACUAACAAAAGUACUUCCAGCGCCCGGUUUGGGCGCGCAGACUGAG